rnacentral:misc_RNA from 1 species
GAUGAAGAACGCAGCGAAAUGCGAUAAGUAGUGUGAAUUGCAGAAUUCAGUGAAUCAUCGAAUCUUUGAACGCACAUUGCGCCCCCUGGUAUUCCGGGGGGCAUGCCUGUUCGAGCGUCAUUUCACCACUCAAGCCUCGCUUGGUAUUGGGCAACGCGGUCCGCCGCGUGCCUCAAAUCGACCGGCUGGGUCUUCUGUCCCCUAAGCGUUGUGGAAACUUUCGCUAAAGGGUGUUCGGGAGGCUACGCCGUAAAACAACCCCAUUUCUAAGGUUGACCUCGGAUCAGGUAGGGAUACCCGCUGAACUUAAGCAUAUCAAUAAGCGGAGGA